AAUGAGGUGGCUGAAUUUUAGGUGAUAAAUUGUAAAUUUAUUUAUGGUUGAUAACCCUUCAUUA
rnacentral:tRNA from 1 species